rnacentral:rRNA from 1 species
GACAGAGGGUGCAAACGUUGCUCGGAAUUACUGGGCGUAAAAGCGCGUGUAGGCGGUUUCGCACGUCCGGUGUGAAAGCCCCAGGGCUCAACCCUGGAAGUGCACUGGAUACGACGGAGCUGGAGUACUGAAGAGGAGAGCGGAAUUCCCCGGUGUAGAGGUGAAAUUCGUAGAUAUCGGGGAGGAACACCAGUGGCGAAGGCGGCUCUCUG